CUCUGUUCGAUAUGUGCCUCUCACUAGCAAGGAAGCUCAACUUAAAGGGGAAUAAGGGUAGCAAAGUGGAAGCAAAAUCCUGAAUUAGGGUGGCUGAUACUUUCAGAUAUUUGUGGUCAUCUGUACCAAACGCCGUAUACAUUCUGUAAGAAUUUGUAUAGUUCAUGUUAGUUUUAUUUUCUUACACCAAAAUGAAAAAAGAAUAGAUUUAUGUAAUAACUAAUAACUAUUCCAUAAAUAAUUGCGUUGGUUAUUUGAAUAUAAUUUUUCUGUUUAUCAAAUAUUUGUGAUAUUAGAUGGAGUUGUUUAUAUAUCAUGUUGAUGUGGCAGGAUAGUUGAGAAGUUUUGUUAGAAUUGAAAAAUGCAAAUCUAAUAUGAAACCAACUGCCAAAAAG
rnacentral:lncRNA from 1 species